AAAUUUAAAAUCUUAUCUUUUCAAGACAACAUUUAUGUUUUAAUUCUAUUUUUAGAUUCUUAACCAUGUUUCUUUAGUUAGCGGUGCCUUCUAUGAAGUUUUCAAAGUCCAAAAUGAAAAAGAAAAUGCUAGAGUGUCAAAAUAUUUAUAAUACUUGUUUGAGGAUUACUACCUCUUUUUUAAAAUGAAAUAGAAUCGUUUAAGGUUUUUAAACAAUGGUUAAGAAAUGUAAUAUAUAUGUCAAAAGUCAUGACAAUUUUACUAAAUUAACAUUAUUUACCACUGAUGUAAUGUUUUAAAAGCAGUGUACACUGAAUUAAUGAGAUGAUAAAAUUGAAAUUAAACUAAUAAUUUUACAUUGAAAAAUGUAAGUGAUAUUCAUUUUAAAAUAAUUUUUUAUUGUUAAAGCGACAUUUAUAUUAAAACGGAGAGAUUAGACUAAAACUUUUAAGGGUUACUAUUGUCAUUUUUCUUUCUAUUUCUCUGUUUGACAUUUUUUUCUUUUUUUUGGACUACAUUUUUGUCUUCCAAGUUUUUUGUUAAGAGAGUAUUGCUAACCCAAUUUUUUUAUGUUUGAUUGAUGAGAAAUUCUAACUUGGGUACAACCCCAAUUUAAAUUCACCUGGACACACUCACAAGUAAAAAUAAAAUAAAAGAGAAAAGAACUAAAUGACGUGUCUAAAUUAUUUCUAUUUUAAUUUUUACAUAUGCGUGCUUAUGUCUAAAUUAAUUUGAUUUGAGGUUGCACUCAAAUUAGAAUUGCUCUGGAUUGAGAUUUCUAUAAUAUUCUCUGCGCCAUUGCUUUGGCUUGGUGUUAAUAUAUUAAGAAAUAACAAGUGUUCCAAGGACACUUGAUAAGAAAUUUAAAGUUAAAAAUUUAUUUUGAAAUUUAUGUAUUCAUUCAAUAUAUUGAAACAUAAAAAACAACUUUUUUUAUAUGAAAACUAUCAAUUGUUUUUAUUUUUGAGUCUUUAAUCGAUGCUUUUGGGUAGAGCCGUUUCUAUAAAAUAAAAGGUUUGACUUUCAUAGUAAAGAUAGAGUCUUAUAAGAAAAUAAGAUUUUUCUUUAAAAACAAAAGCAAAAAAAAAAAAGUUUUAAUGUUUGUUUUAUUUUAUUUUUGAAGAUAAUAAUUAUAAUAAUUGCUGAUAAAGCAUUGAUAUUUUAUACGAAUGUGUGAGAAAAAAUUACAAGAAGUGCUCUAAAAAAAGUAAAAUAAAAUUAUAUUGCAUUUUUUAUAGAAAAUAUAUAGUUAAAUAGUUGAGGAGAGUUAAAUCGAAUUGGAGAUAGUAUUACCUCAAAUCCAAGAUAAAUCACGCCUAAUCAUAAGAACUAAAAUACCAACACCCAUUACUUCCAAUAGGCUAUCUCUAUAGAGCUGAAAUAAUAAGCGCUUUACUUGUAUAUAUGUAAAAAAAAAAUUGGGCUGCAAAAUACUUAAGACUGUACUUGUUGGAUGUUCGAUGUUCGAUGUGUAUGGUCUCUUUUCUAUAGAAUAGUAGUUUGAUUCCUUUGUUCGGGAUAUCCUCACCCAUCGUGCUAAAACGUCCUCAACCCCCUCUUUCAUGGGGAUGUAACUUCUCCCACUUUCUAUUUGAAUUCUCGACAGUACCCCUUCCUACCCCAUAGCCAUAGGUUAAGUAUGUGACUUACUAAGACACCUCGCCCACAUGCCGAGCACGUGAUAAGUAUCAUGUUGCUCUGAUCCUAUGUUUUAGAAGGAAAAUAUGAUUAGUAUCUUUUCAUUGAUGGUUCGAAGGUUCAACUCGGUAGAACUCUUUGCUUCCUUCAAUAGAUCACCAUCUUUAUGAACAUUGGUUAACUAGAGCUUAGUAUAUUUUGUACGUUUUUUCUUCCUCAUCAUUUGCAUAGAAACUUUUUUGCACAUGAUUGAUAAAUUAAAGUUUGUAUUUUUUGUUGAUAAAUUAGAGUUGAAUAUGCUGUAUAGGUAAAUUAACAAACGAAAAUUGAUUUUUGACCUCAAUUUUAUUUAUUUUAAAAAGCCAAAUUCUUUAUUUACUUUUUAGAGCAAUCUUAUUUGAACAACCUUUUAUAGUGAUAAUUUAGUGGCACAAAAACAAAACAAUAGAAAGAGAAAGUAGAAUGAUAAUGUGAGUGUGAGAAAGAGAAUUGUGACAAAAAUUAUAAAAAAUGGUUGUUCAAAUAUCAUUUUUCUACUUUUUAUUGAGUUAUACUUCUAACAUACCAGUCUAGCAGUCACUAAUUAAGUACUCCUUCCUUAUCUAACGAGCGUAGCAAGCACGCGCACGUAGGCCCGUGAGUGUACGGUAAAACUUGGACAUGCUGCUAGGGGAGCGCGUAGUGAGACUGCAAAAUCGUUUAAAAGCAUGAAAUGAAUCAGAAAGAUAGCUACAUAGGCAUAGGGAUAAAAACGAUAUUUACAGCAUGCGAGUGAAGGUGCGUGAGAGAUAAAUAACAGUGGGAAAUGACGGCGAGAACAUCCAGUAUAACACAGUGACACUCAUCAAACGUCGUUUCACCGCCGUUUCACUAUUUCUCUCUCUUCAUUACACAUUCUUCUGUGUUUACCUUACACUUCACGCCAAACGCCUGCUCUCUCUCUCUCUCUCUCUCUAUCUCUCACACACACACCAUUUCUCUCUCCCCCACAUUGUAACAAACACCAACCUUUGCACAUUGUAACAAACACCAACCUUUGCAACAGCUACAUUUUAGUUUUCUCAUACUUACUCUUUGUGGUUUUUGUCUUUCUUUGUAACAAUGGAAGACGAAGGCUUAAUGCCUUUGUUCUAUGCUAGGCAGAAAAAAUGGUGGUUCCAUGCGACAACAAUGUUUCUCAUGCUGUUGCUUCUUUCUCCAUUUGCAUUUUCACUUCAGGAAGAAGGUUUGUGCUUUUGUAACUAUUAUUGUCAUGUGGAGUAACCUUUUAGUUCUUUUUUUUUUGUUCUUUCUUCUCUUCACUCAUCAAAAUCAUGUCUUGCAUAUGGAGUAUAUUUUUGUGUUUUAGUUGUAUCAUUACUAAAAAUAGCUACACUGUUUUAUGAUUUUCCUUGAUGAUUGAAACAGUCGUUUACUUAACUAUUCCCCCUUUUUUCACUCUCAAAGACUUCCAUUGCAACAGUGAUGCGAUUUUUUAAUAACUUUUUCACGGAUAAAGUUAUGUGUAUUUUUCAUUUUCAUUAUAGUAGUAUUUUCUUUGCCAAACGACUACAUAGUAUGUUUUUGUCGGCGGUAUCAGUAGAUCAUUUUUUUUUUCUGUUGGAUUUGAUGAAACAUGUUUGGCCCUUUUAUUUUUUAUUUUUUAUUAUUGUGUGCUGGAAUUAAUAAUGAGUGAUUUUCCCGUGAGUAGAAAUAAAUAAGCCAUGUGCUUUGCUAUUUUAUUUACUGUUGAACUUUCUUUCUUAAGAUGAAUCGUCAAAAUUGCAUUUUUUUAUUUUCCUUUUGAAGCUGUAUUGUUAAGAAAGCGACUUCAAUCUUUAUACUUGAUGCUGUAAAGAGAUUAACUUUUUUUAAUUGUGUUUGGUUAUGUCGUAAAACUUAUUGUAAAAUCUUGUAUUUUUUUUUAACCCAAGAUGCUACUCGAAGCAAAGAUUCUACCAACUUUAAGAAAUAUAUAAAUUAAAAUUUUUUCAAGCAAAAAGUUUUAAAACUACAGUUUUGAUUUUCUCUCUUUUUUUGUUGCCACAAAAGAUUGCCUCUUUUAUGACUAGCUUUUGAGUGCCUCAACAAUUUUCCAAACAUGCUAAGCGGCGAAUGUAGUGGUUCGAACGAUUGUUUUCUAGGAGCAGUGCAGUGUACCAAUGUUGUUUUGUAGUGGUUCGAACAGUUGUUUUCUAUGAGCAGUGUGGUAUUAAUGUACUAGUACUGCUACAUAAUUUGCAUUUAAGAAGCUUUUAACCAUUAGUUAUUAGUAUUACUUUUUUUUCGAAACAAGCUAUUAACUAUUACUAUUACCAUAAAUUAGAAGUAGUACAUCUCUUUAAAAAUAUAUGUAUGUAAAUAAUAAAGAAAUCUGUAUUUUAUAGUUGUAUUGUUUUAGAAAUAAGAAAAAAAUAAUUGUGGAUGAAGUGACAACCCUAAAGCUAACACAUCCAACCAUGAAAUCUCGAGUUCGAACUAUGUUGUUGAAUGUGUCCAACCUAAUAAUAUCAACAUCAUCAGUUAAAUUGACUCUACUUAAAAAAGGAAAAUUUGUAAUUUAGGAUUUUCUUAACUAAUGUAGUUUUAAACAGUUUUUUGAUAUGUGUCUCUUGAUUUGACACCCCGUCGCUCUUCAGGUUCAGAAUGAUGUCAUUAACAGCAAUGUCUAUAUAGUUUACUGCAAUUAGAAUUUUAUAGUGUAAUUUUGAUUAUUGAUAUAAAUAGUGUAAUUUAAAGGAAAAUUUUCCUUUAAUCCAAUAUUUUGUCAAUGUGAGGUGCUGCUUUUGACUUCCAAUUUGCACAAGCAUAGUGAUUAAUUAAACUGCCUAUUUUUUCCAAGGAUGUGUAUGCAUUGAGUCAAAAAAUAUGCAUGUAUUAGUAAUUUUCCUUUUUACUUGUUCUUUUAUAUCUGUCAAUCAUUUUUUCCCUGAUGGUGCAGUUUGCAACUAUACACAAUAUGUGCUAUAAUAAUGAUAUUAAAAGAUCCUAUGUUUGAGAUUAAUACUACCUGAUUAAGGUGAUGAAUGUUUGGUAAAUGCAUUAGGACAAGCAUUAAUGGCAAUGAAGUCUUCCUUCAACAACAUAGCUGACGUUCUCCUUGACUGGGAUGAUGUACACAAUGAUGACUUUUGCUCAUGGCGUGGAGUUUUCUGUGAUAACGCCAGUCAUGCUCUUACUGUUGUAUCUCUGUGAGUCCUUUAUCCCUCGGUCUAUAUCCAUCACUUGUCUUACUCUCUCAUUACCAACAAUUUUUUGUAUUUGUUAAUCUCUAAUGUUUUUUUCAUAUUAAUGAAGGAAUUUGUCAAGCUUGAACCUUGGUGGUGAGAUAUCACCAGCAAUUGGUGAUUUAAGAAACUUGCAAUCCAUGUAUGUCACCUCUUACUUAACAUUCUAUGCAUCUCUCAUACUUUAGAUUGAAGUCGUGUUCACUGCUUGAAAUAACACUGACCCAUGUCGUUACAUUUAAUUGAAUACUUUCAUAUUCUAAAAAUUUACUUGUGUCGAUGUGUUAGUGUCUCGUUUGUGUCUUUGUUAGUGCUUUAUUUGUUACGUUUACACAUGCACAUGUUUUUUUAAUUAAUGUUGAUUUACUAUUUGAUUUGUAUGUUAACAAUGUAUAUAUUUUUUGGUAAUGACAGAGAUUUGCAAGGGAAUAAACUAACUGGUCAAAUCCCAGAUGAAAUUGGGAACUGUGGUGCACUUUUUCACCUGUAUGACUCUUGUCUUGUUUCUUUUAUCUACUUUAUUAAUUAUUGUGCUGGAGUUUUCCUUGCGAUACAAGUGCUAAUUAUAUUGCUUAUUUUUUAAUUGAAUUUGAAGGGAUUUAUCUGAUAAUCAACUUUAUGGUGAUAUACCUUUCUCCAUAUCAAAGCUGAAGCAACUUGAGUUUUUGUAAGUCUUCAAUUAGAUAGAAUAUAGAAUUCAGUCUUUUGUGCAGUUUUUUUUCUUUCUUUUCAUUUGAAUUUGAUUAAAAUUGAUAAUUCAGGAACUUAAAGAACAAUCAGUUGACUGGUCCUAUUCCUUCCACGUUAUCCCAAAUUCCAAACCUUAAGACUCUGUAAGUUCUCAUUUUGUCAUCAUUUGUGUUUUGUGGAGCUAAGAAUGUGUUAUUUUAUACUUAUUGUCUUGCUAGUAACAACUAUAACCACUCUUUUGUCAUGUUUACAGUGAUCUUGCUCGAAAUAAGCUCAUAGGAGAGAUACCAAGGCUACUCUAUUGGAAUGAAGUAUUGCAAUACCUGUAGGUUACCUUUCUUUUAUAAUGUACAUUAUACAUUAUAACUUGGAUAUUUCUAAUAUUUCAGUUGUGGUAUGUUUUGCACAAUGAUACAGUGGAUUGCGAGGGAAUAUGUUGACUGGAAUUUUGUCUCCGGAUAUUUGCCAAUUAUCUGGUUUGUGGUACUUGUGAGUAAUCAAGCCCUGUCAUAUUUAAUUUUUUUUAUAUGUACUAAGUUUAUUCUGGACUUCUGUUUUGACUUUUGAUCUUUGUUAUUCUGAUAUGAUUUUCAGUGAUGUCAGAGGCAAUAAUUUGACUGGUCCUAUUCCAGAAAGCAUUGGCAACUGUACAAGUUUUGAAAUCUUGUAUGUCUAGUGUUUUGUAUUCUGUAUAUCAUUAAACUUUUGCUCAAGAUAUUAUUUUGUUGUAGUUCUUAAUGUAUCUUCUCAUUGAAUUUCAGUGACAUAUCAUACAAUCAGAUUACUGGGGAGAUUCCUUAUAACAUUGGAUUUCUUCAAGUUGCUACUUUGUAAGUACUACGACCAAUUGUUAUUAUUUUUCUAAUUAUUCAAAUGUUUAUGAAUUUUGUGAACCAUUUGCUUUUCCUAAUAUCUCAUAUUGAAAGUCUCAAAGAGGGUUCUUUUCAAGUUUGUUACAUUAAGUGGUGAAAUAAACGGUCAUUUAUCAUUGCGAUAUCUUCUUAGGUCACUUCAAGGAAAUAGAUUAACUGGGAAGAUACCAGAAGUGAUUGGUUUGAUGCAAGCUCUUGCAAUUUUGUAAGUGUAAUCUGAUUAUUUCAUCAUUAUCUUUAUCGUUAUAAGUAUUUUAGUUGUACAUAUUUGACUUCAUAUUACUGUUCUUUAUUAUAAUGUUUAGAGAUUCAGUUCCAUAAUGGUUAUUUUGGAUCCUUGCAUUGUUGUAGGGAUUUGAGUGAGAAUCAGUUAGUGGGACCAAUUCCUCCUAUACUAGGAAAUCUGUCUUUCACUGGCAAGCUGUGAGUGUCACUCUACCGUAGUUAAAUCUCUAUAUAGUUAUUGUUUCUUUCUAAGCGUUUUAGUUAUGCAGGUACCUUCACGGAAACAUACUUACUGGUUCAAUACCUCCCGAGCUUGGCAAUAUGUCUAAACUGAGCUACUUGUGAGUUGAUCUCCAUCUGUAUCAUCAAUAUCUUAGUUUUGUGCACGAAUUUACCAAGCUUAAUUUUUUCAGGCAAUUGAAUGGUAAUCAACUGGUGGGUGAAAUUCCGAAGGAGUUUGGGAAGCUUGAAAAUCUGUUUGAAUUGUGAGUUAUAAAAAUAUCAGUUAUACCUUCAAUAAGGAGUAUAAGGUGUGAGUGUCUGAUUCUAAUUUGCUUUUUAUAAUCUAUUCAGAAAUCUUGCCAAUAAUCACCUUGAGGGAUCUAUUCCACAUAACAUCAGCUCCUGCACAGCCUUAAAUCAGUUGUAAGAUUUCAGAGCUAGCCAACUGUGCUGGGGAAUUUAGUUUUAAUUUUGGCAUGCAUAUUGUUUACUUACUCAUUUGGUUUUCUUUUGCAGUAAUGUGCAUGGUAAUCAGUUAAGCGGUUCUAUUCCAACGACCUUUCGCAAUCUUGAGAGUCUGACUUACUUGUACGUUCUGACAAAUUUAAUAUUUUUUCAUUAGUUUUAGUACAAUUCUUAUAAUAACAUGGGUAUUUUUUUUUAUCUACAGGAACCUUUCUGCAAAUAACUUCAAAGGGAAUAUACCAGUCGAGUUGGGUCAUAUCAUUAAUCUUGAUACAUUGUAAGUUCAUGAAAUCAUAUAUCUAGACUGAUAAGUUUCACUGUAUGCUGAAUAUUAAUAAACAUAUUCGACUCACUAUUAUGUGUCAGGGACCUAUCAAGCAAUAAUUUUUCUGGACAUGUCCCAGCAUCUGUUGGUUAUCUAGAGCAUCUUUUGACCCUGUAAGAUAAUAGUUGUAAUAAACAAUGUCAUGUUAUUUUCAUUGUUUUUUGUUAGCUGUUACUGAGUACUGAAUUUGAGUGAUAUUGCAUGAUAUAAAUGCAGGAACUUGAGUCAUAACCAUCUUGAAGGUCCGUUGUCCGCUGAAUUGGGGAAUCUCAGAAGCAUACAGACUAUGUAAGUUUUGUAGAUAUUUUCUGAUUUGGAGGAUCCAAAUUCAAUAUCCUGUUAAGUUGUUUAUCCUAGUGGAUGGUUUAAUGGAUUCAUAAUGAUUUAUUCUGUCUCUAGGGAUAUGUCUUUCAACAACCUGUCAGGCAGCAUUCCUCCAGAAAUUGGACAGCUGCAAAACCUUGCAUCUCUGUACGUUUUAUUGUGAAGGGUUUUCUGCUUUUAUUUUUUGUUCAUACCUUGUUUGGAUGACUAGUUCACUGAGUUACCAUUGCUUUUUAACUUUAUCAUAGGACUUUGAACAACAAUGAUCUGCAUGGGAAGAUUCCAGAACAGCUCACCAAUUGUUUCAGUCUUUCCACUUUGUGAGUAUGCCUGUUAUGAUUUUUUGCUCUUCUCUGAAGUAGAUCCCUUGCUAAUGUAUUUUAUUUCUUCAUGUUUUAGGAACUUUUCUUAUAACAACUUUUCUGGAGUAGUUCCGUCUUCAAAGAACUUCACGCGGUUCGCAGCUGACAGGUAGUGCAGAGAAAGCUUGUAUUUUCAUAAUCAUUAAUAUUUUCUGUCAAUGACUUUUAAUGUGGGCUUUUGCAGCUUCAUUGGAAAUCCUUUAUUAUGUGGAAAUUGGGUAGGAUCAAUUUGUCGUCCUUAUAUUCCUAAAUCAAAAGGUUUGUGAAGUGAAAUCCAUUUGCAAUGUUUAUUUGUUUUUCAUAGUGGAAGUAUUACUAACCAUAUUGUCUUUUUUCUUUUCAGAGAUAUUUUCUAGAGUUGCAGUUAUAUGUCUCACUCUUGGUAUCAUCAUAUUAUUGGCUAUGAUAAUUGUCGCAAUCUAUAGAUCCAUCCAAUCAAAGCAGUUGAUGAAAGGAUCUGGCAAGAUGGGACAAGGUAUGGUGAAUAAUCGAAUGCUACUUGGAGUGUACCUUCAAGCUAGCCUUUUUUGCUCACUUUGUUUUUGAUAUUUGUGACUUUUCAGUGCCUCCUAAACUUGUCAUUCUUCACAUGGAUUUGGCAAUACACACUUUGGAUGAUAUAAUAAGAAGCACUGAGAAUCUUAGUGAGAAAUUUAUCAUAGGGUAUGGUGCCUCUAGUACUGUGUACAAGUGUGUGUUGAAAAAUUCCCGACCGAUUGCAGUCAAGCGAUUGUACAAUCAGCAUCCUCACAAUUUAAGAGAAUUUGAAACGGAGCUUGAAACAAUUGGCAGCAUUAGACAUAGAAAUCUUGUCACAUUGCAUGGCUAUGCACUUACUCCUUUUGGAAAUCUCCUUUUUUAUGAGUACAUGGCAAAUGGCUCGCUCUGGGAUCUUCUACAUGGUAAGUUUUCCCAACUGAAACAAAUUUCUGUAUUAAUUUGAUGCAGGAUUUUGGUGCUACUUGCAAGAAAAGUUUUAUGUAUUUCUGGAGUUUAGAUUUGUUAUAUCUCCGCAAAGCUGCUUUUGGGUGCUUAAAAAUGCCUUCUUUGACACAGGUCCACUGAAGGUAAAACUUGAUUGGGAAACACGGAUGAGGAUUGCUGUUGGAGCUGCUGAAGGACUUGCUUAUCUUCACCAUGACUGCAACCCCCGAAUAGUUCAUAGGGACAUCAAGUCUUCAAAUAUUUUGCUUGAUGAGAACUUUGAGGCUCACCUCUCUGAUUUUGGCACUGCAAAAAGCAUCCCAGCCACAAAAACUCAUGCCUCAACUUAUGUUCUUGGAACUAUAGGCUACAUCGAUCCUGAAUAUGCACGGACGUCUAGGCUGAAUGAAAAAUCAGAUGUUUAUAGCUUUGGCAUUGUUUUGCUAGAGCUACUUACUGGGAAGAAGGCAGUGGACAACGAUUCCAACUUGCACCAAUUGGUAUGUGUGCAAUUAUACUAUUAUUUAUCUGUUUUAGAUUUGAUAACAUACAUCAAUCGAUUAUGUGUGGAAUAUACUAUUAACUGAUAUUGAUUUUUUUAUUUUUUAUUGUUUAAUAGUCUCACUGAGUAACAUGAAUUUUCAGAUAUUGUCCAAGGCGGAUAGUAACACUGUAAUGGAGGCUGUGGAUCCAGAGGUAUCCGUUACCUGUAUUGAUUUGGCUCAUGUCAAGAAGACCUUUCAACUUGCUCUGCUUUGCACAAGAAGGAACCCUUCUGAGAGGCCUAGCAUGCAUGAAGUAGCCAGGGUGCUUAUUUCUCUACUUCCUCCACCUCCAAGUAAAGUUGUUGCAGCUGCUGCCAAGAGUUUUGACUAUGCACCUUUUGUUGCCGAGAAGGGACAGCACCACAGAAAAUUGGAUGGACUACAACCUCAGCAGGAUAACAACUUGUCUAAUGCUCAAUGGUUUGUUCGUUUUGGGGAUGUCAUAUCCAAGAGCUCUCUUUGACUCAGCAUCUUCCCAUUGUGAUUCAUGACUCGAUUAAGACAAAAGUUAAUGAAGGGUUAAAGUAAAGACUACUCUUUUCAGUGUUUUGAUAUUUCCAUAAUUAUAUAUAACCUUAAAAAAUAGAAAGGAUGACCAUUUGGGUUUAUAAAACAAUAGAAAGAAAGCUUAAGGAAUUUUCUAAUGCAUAUUGCAGAAGCACUUGUUCCUAGAUAUUAGUUGGUUUGGGUAUAAAUAUCCAUUAUUUUACUUUUUGGAUCGACGCUUAUUUUGUGAACGGUGAUAUGGUUGUAUGGUGUAAUUAAAUAGCAACACCUUAUGUGUUUAUGUUGGAAACUUUUGGCAAGAUAUUAUUUUACUUUUUGGAUCGACGCUUAUUUUGUGACCGUUGAUAUGGUUGUAUGGUGUAAUUAAAUAGCAACACCUUUAUGUGUUUAUGUUGGAAAUUUUUGGCAAGAUAUGGCUUUAGUAUUUAUGGAGUUUAUGUCCUGUGGUAAUUAAAGUUUCUUCUUGUUUUGAAAAUUUGUUCCACAACCUAUUUGACCUAUGUAGCAUCAACACUACACGGUGAAGGCGUAUUUUGUGUGAUGAGUUGUUGUUUGAUAUCUUUAGUAUAAAUUUUAAUCUACUGUGUUUAUGUGUUAUGAUGUGUGUGCGUGUAAUUGACAAACUAUGAUUGUCUUGGAAUCAGAUUUGCAGAAUGUAAAUGGCUUUAUGUCUUUGUUAUGGAAAGAAAAGCAUCUCCACUAGUGGGGUAGUGCUAUGAACUUGGAAGAAAAUAUAUAUUAGCAACACGAAGUAAAUUUCAACACAAUCACCAUUCUGCAAUCUCAACAAAUGAAAUCCUUGAAUUAUUAAACAACAACGGUUUUUCUUUUUGAUCUUUGCUGCCUAGAGUAGGUUCGGCCCAUGAUUACAAUUGGGAAUCAUCUGCAAUUGUGUAUCAUGAUUCUCUUCCCAACCGUGCUUUGGACAUGAUUUACUAUGUUAGAACACGUCUCAUCUAUCUUAAUUCAAAGAAAUAUUCUUUGUUUAACUUUGUGGAUCAAUACUCCUUUAAAAAAUACUUCAUGGAUCAAUACUGAUAUGUACUGAUUUUGUGACCUAUGAUAGGUGUAAUGAAAUAGCAGACACCUUACGUCGUACUAUUGGAAAAAAAAAUUACAUGAAAAGGUUUUAGUAUUUUAUCAUUUAUAUUCUACCUAAUUCAUCCAUUAGAAAAAAAUGUCUUGUCUUAAUUCAAGAUUUUUUCUAAGUUGUUUGACACGAAAUGUUCUUCCUAUAGCACAAACAUACAUGGUGCUUGUUGGUGUCCGAUAUUAUAGUUAUAUUCAAUCGCUUUCAAUUUAUAUAAAUUAUUGUGUUUUGUUUUCCAUAUAUAAUCUUUGAUUUUGUAUGAGAAUCAGGUUAAAAAACUCUAGUUCAACUUGUUGCUUUCAUUUUGGGAAGGAAUCUAUACACCUCCACCUGUGGAUUAUAGCUAUGAGACAUGAGAUAUCUUAAAAGAAAAUACAAUAUGAUAGUUUACAACACACAAGGAAAUUCUAAUACAAUCAACAUUCUGCAAUCUCAACAAAGGAAAUCCUUUAAUGGUUACUCUACAGCCGCAUCCGUGGUUAUCUUUAGACUAGUUUCAGCCUAGGGUAGUAGUAGUACUUUUUCUUCAACAGCCCUUCAAUGAUACUGCUGCCUGUUACAACGGAGAAGCAUCCAAAAGCUUGUUUUCUUGUGGUUUUCUGCAUGUUGAAGCAAAAGAGUAAAUGUUGGUAUUCAAAUUUACUUUUCUGCAAGAGCAUGCAUAUUCAUAUAAAAAUUUAUCCAUACUUAAAAAGUAACCAAUUUAGAUGCUUAUUUGAAUAAUCUCAUCGAGAAAAAUUGGUUCUUGGUCUGACUUUGUAUUUGGAUUAUUUGGUUUACUAACUUGAGUAUGUGUCGUCUGAUCUUAAUUCAACGUUUUAGAUUAUGUGAUGACUAUGUCAAAUAUGUAACAUAAUCCAAAGAAAUGUUUAUUGACAUAAAAAAAAAAAAAAAAAAAAAAAAGAGUUACCUUUGGUGGAUCCCAUUUAUUCAUUUGAGUUGCUUUUCUUAUGCAGCUUCUUCUUCUGCUCAUCAUAAUUAACUCCCCAAGUGUUGGUUGCUUCCUUGACAUAUCACAAGUAUAAUCUUCAUUCUCAAAAUCAUUUCCCUUUAGUUCCACCAAACUUGAACUUAACUUUUCGUUGUAACCAAUAUCCCUUUCAAGAAAACUAGACUUUGGUGGAAACAAAGGAAAUAGACAUUCCAAAAAAGCAGAACCAGUUAAACUUGACCUUCCAGUUUCAUAGCUGCUUAUGCUACUAUCCGUCUCCGACGAAGCUGGAGAGGAUGGAGUUUGUUGUAGUGGAAUGGCUGUAGAGAGUUUAGUUGAUGAUACAAGACAAUCUGCAAGCAAAGAAGGAACUGAGUUAAAUGAUUCAUUUGUAUCAAAACUAAAUGAUUCAAGGUCCAAGCUAGUUAUGCUUUCAUUCUCAUCAACAUGUGAGAAAUUAGGGAGGGGUAUUCCAGGUUUUUCUUCCCAAACAAAGGGAAUAGAGGCAAUUUGUUUGAGUGGAGUUUUUGGUAAUUGGCAAAAUGACGAGUCCACUGGCUUCCAAUCUUUUAUAGGAAUGCCUGGUUUUGUUUCCCAAAUGAAAGGAAUUGAAGGUGGUUCCCUAAUAUGUUUCUUCCUUUCUUUUUCAUUCAUUUUUUAUUUUAUUUCUCUUAAUGUUUUUGAGUUAGUCCAUUUAUAGUAUUUGUCUUUGUGAUAUAGUAGUGGUUUAGUGCCAACUUUAAUUUUACUAAAUCAUUUUGUUUUCAUAAAGAUUAGGCAUACCUGCUCUAAAUCACCACUUCCUCUACUAGGUUUUGGUAUGUGGCAAGGCAGGUAGACUUUGAAUAUUUAUUUUCAAACCUUGGAAUACGUAGAAAGAGAUGCUUUAUAGACUUUAUUUAUGGCAAAAGGAUUUCAUCAUUUUAAUUAUGUGUUAAACUUCCACUCAGUCGUGGCAUUUGCAGCUGAUACUGGAAGUCCAAGGAUCUGUUUGGUAAAAAUAAGCUAUUAGUUAGCUGAUAGUUGAAAAGUUAGCUGAUAGCUGAAGACUGAUAGCAGAUAGCUUAUAGCUGAAAAGCUUGCUUAUUAAAAAUAAUAUGUUUGGUAAAAUUAGCUGUUGAAGUGGCUGAUAAGUAUAAAAUGGGCUAAACUACAGUUUUGACCCCCUAACUUUACCAAUGUUGCGAUUUUGGCCCCCUAAUAAAAAAAAAUGAAAAUUUUGCCCCCUAAAUUUUAGUCCCUUUGCAAAAGUGACCUUUUGGCCAAUUUUGACCUGGUCAACGCCUAGGUGGCAUGCCACGUGUGUAAUUACAAAUUAAAAAAAAAUAAAAAAAAUCCACAUAAUCAUUUUCUAAAUUAAAAAAGAAAAUGAAAAAUAAAAAAAAAUAGAAAAGGAAGGAUGUAUGGGUCAUUUCACGUGUGUUUCAAAAGAGCAACAUUGGAAAUGGAAGCACCAUCGUGACAGCCACCACAAGUGGUGCAAAACAGACCAAAAUAGCCUCAAACUCAGCCAACAACAACAGCAUGAGUCUUUGUCCAGAACCAAGUUCACCUUCUUCCGUUUAUCUUCCACCUCUUCUUGAUUCAUCUCCUUACACCGCCGCUAGCAUCGCCACAUUCAACGGCGACCAAAUGUGUAACUCCAACAACACUGAUCUAAAGGAGCACGUGUCCUGUUUCUCCACAACAUCUACAACAUCAAAUGUUGUCGUUGCCCACAACAACUUCAGUAACAACAACAAUGGAAGCUUUGAUCUUGUUUCUCCUUCUAUGAAUGCUACAAUUGAUCCUUUUGCAAGCUUAAUCCCAACAGAAGCAAAACUCGCCUCAAAUUACCCGUUUUCUUCAGAAUCUUGAGGUUGAACAUUGGAACGUGAAGGAGAAUGUGAAGUUAUUCUGUUUUUGUGAGUGGUGAUUUUGUGAGAGGAUGAAGAAGAGGGUUUGGGGCGGUGGUCGUGGGGUUUGGAGGAGCGUGAACAAGGGGUUUCGUUAUCAGCGUUGAUUUCGUUGUCGGCGAAGCUGAGAAGUUUGGGUUUUUUAUUUCAGGUUUAGGGGCAGAGGGUUUGGAAGGGACGGUGGUGGGAGUGUCGUUGUCAGAGUUUGUGUCAGUGCAGCGACGGAAAUUGCGAAGUUUGGCGGAGGACAUGGCGGUGGUUUGAAUGAUGAUGAUGAAGAUAUAUUUUCUUUUUUGUUUUUUUUUAUUCAAGUAUUACACAAGUGGCUUUUUGAAUAAAAAUAAAUGGGAAAAUACACAUGUGGCAUGACACCUCCGCGUUGAUCCGGUCAAAAUUGACCAAAAGGUCUCUUUUGCAAAGGGGCUAAAACAUAAGGGUUUAAAUUUUCAUUUUUUUUAAUAGGGGGCCAAAAUCGCACCUUUGUGAAAGUUAGGGGGUCAAAACUGCAGUUUAGCCUAUAAAAUGACAUGUUUUUUUUUUAAUAUACAUAUAGACACACACUUUUUUUUUGUAAUGUAUUUAUUUUUUUAAUAUUUUUAAUUAUAGUUAAAUAUGUUUUUGAUCCCUAUAAAUAUUCAAACUUUUGGUCUUAGUCUCCAUAAAAAAAUUCUUCGACCUUUAAUCCUAAAAAAAAAUCACCAAAAAUUUUGAUCUCUGCUUUAUGAAUCGCAAAAAUAAGAGAAAGGUGGAAACAAAAUGUGAGUUAGAAUAUAUAAAAUUAGGCUAGUUAUUUUUUGUGUGGUGUACAGCAGGUAGGGUUGGGAAUAGGUCAGGCCAGGCUUUGAAAUGCCUGAGCCUGGCCUACGAAAAAUUAUACAAGCCUAAGCCUAGCCUAUGGCCUAUCAUAGGCCGUUUUUCUUGGCCUGGUCUGGCCUAUUAAAAAGCAUGGUCUGACCUGAUAGCCUAAUUUGAAGCCUAUUUAACAUUAUGGUCAUCAAAUAGUUCAUUUUACAUACUAAAUAGGUUAAACAGGCCUUAAAGCCUACUUAAAAGCCUAUUUUACUAAAAACAAAUUUUAACAACAUAAAAGGCUGUUUAAAAGCCUAUAACAACAAAACAACAAAUCACAAUGAAUUUGGAGCUAAUAAUAAUAAUCUUUCGUUAGUACUCAUCAAUGUUUAUCAACCAUUUGAGUACAAUUCACCAAAAAAUAGAAAAUCAUAUGAUGACGAGUAGCAGAAUUGAACACUUCUAGCAGUUUACACACUUUCUCAACUUUGUCCCAUUCUUCAAAUGAAGGGGCAUGAUCACAGUGAGGCUCUCUUUCUUUGUAGGCUGAAAAUACAAUUUUAAAUCUCAAUAAAAAAUUAUUUCUAUUUAUAUUGGGAUUGAUUUUUUUUUAGCGGACAAUGGGAAUUGGGAAUGAUUUUUUGUUGAUAUAUAUUAAUAUAAUAAUAAUUAGGCCUAAUUCAUAAAAUAAAUAAAUAAAAUAGGCCUAUUAGGCUUAACUUAUGGGUAUAAAUAGGCCGGCCUAUCAGGCUUAACAAGGCUUUUUUAAAAGCCUGAGCCUGACCUAUUUUAUCAAAUAGACUUUUUAAAAAGCUUUAACCUGGCCUUUUUAAUAAAUAGGCCAAGCUAGGGCAGGCUUAAAGAGGCUAGGCCGGUCUAGCCUAUUCGCAAUCCUAACGGCAGGUUAGUUAUAGCAAAAUAUAAAGCAUUUUCUUAUAUAUAUAUAGGUGAGAAUGAUAGGAAUGAAUUGCAGCCAUUAGAUUAAAAGUGAAGGGCUGAGAUUAAAAGAUUGGUUAAGUGAGUUGUUGUACCCAAUCUCAAAAUUAUUGUUCGUCCUCUCCCUGAAAUUCUUCCCUUGAAUCACUCAUCUUCUUCCUCUAAUUACAAUAAAAAACCCAUGACUCAAAUUGGCACACAAAUUUGUUUUCUCAAUUAAUUUUUGUUUUUGGGAAAAGAACAGAUUAAUAAAUCUGAAAUUUAUUGUUGAACUUUUUGCUCAUCUGGUGUCAUUCCGCUUACAAUCAUAGCACCAAAUGUGUUCUUUUUUGUUUCGAUUUCAAUCAAAUUUUAAACCAACACAUUGAGACAAGUGGCACAGAGAUGAGAGAAGAAGUAUAAACUAUAAAGAAAAAGAAAUAAAAAAAUAAAAAAUAAAAAAGACGACGACGAUAGAGGGAAAGAAGAGUCCUGCACAAAACCAUCAGUGAUAUCAAACCUGCAGCACCUUGAAAACGCAGGAAAGAACCCCCAAAUCAAAACUAUAAUUGGACUGUGCAGCUUUAAUUGAUUACAAAUGAACACAAUAGAUUGAAAAUCAAAUAGAUAAAAAUGCCAAUCCCUAAAUCUCAAAUACAAGUCAAGUAAUUAGAAGAAAAUAGAUUGUAACUGAAACGAAGUAUAAAGCAGGUAGAUGAAGGAAUGAAAGCUGAAACUGCAACCCACUUGAAAGGGAGAAUAAGAAUCUGCGCGUGCAUAAAAAGGGAGAACAAUAAUUUUAAUUUUAAGAUUGGGUGCAACAACUCAUUUAACCCAUCUUUUAAUCUCAGCCCUUUCAUUUUAAUCUAAUGGAUACAAUUUAUUCCUACCAUUCUCACAUAUAAAUAUCAUUCUCAUGUGAUAUGCUAUAUAUAUAUAUAUAUAUAUAUAUAUAUAUAUAUAUAUAUAUAUAAAGUACUCCUUAAAAAAAACAACGUGGCAGUUUUUUUAAGGGAAAAAAUGGGGCGGUUAUAAAGAUGAAUAUGGAUAGUUGUUUAAUUAAAAAAAUAAUUAAUUUAAAUUAAUAGGGUUAAAGUUGGAAGAAAAUAUAAAAAGCUACCAGCUAUAAGCUACUUGAAAUAGCUUAUCAAAAAACGUUAUAAGCUCAUGAAAAAAGCUUGUUACCAAACACGUCACGUUUUCAUCUAACGAGCUUAUAAGCUAAUCCAACAAGCUAUAAGCUAGCUUUUUAAUAUGGGUAAAAUGCUAUAUAAGUGAGACAAAUCUUACAUCAUCUAUAAGUUAGUUUUAGCUAUUUGAUUAAUAAAUCUCAUCAUUGGAUCAACUGAAAUAUGAUAUGAAUUAUUGAUAUAAUGGUGAAAAAAAAUUAGACAUGGUGCACGGCCAUUUUUUUUGUUGGUACAAACUGCAUAAGAAACUAGGUAUUGAACCAAAUCAAUUUGGCAACAAUCAUUCACAUAGUUGAAUUUGCUUAUGGUAGGAUGGAAAUUGCGACGACAUGGACAAAAUUGCAUUUUGGCAACAAUAAUUCACAUAAUUGAACUUGCUUAUGAUAGGAUGAAAAUAUUCUAAAACAUUUCUUUCCAUUGUGAGGUCGUCCACCACCAAACCCAUCUUCACAAAUUACGUGUAUUGGAUUGAAUCCUAAUCAUUUUGUUCAUGUAUAUUUUAAGGACAGGUACAAACACAAGAAGUUGAGCAAUGGAAAAAUCAAUUUGUGGAGAGACGGUGUUUGUUUGAAGAACUGAUAGAUAUUGGAAGAGGUGGCCAAUCCCACUAUAUAUGUUAAGUAGCGCUGGACAAAAAACCCAUUUCCGCCCGAAACCGGAAAUUCCGCACCACAGCAAACCGAAUCGGUCGGGUCACGCGGGUUAAGCGGAGCUCUGGAGGCGGAUUGGGCUGGGCAUGCACGGGUCGGUCCGGUCCAAGUUUAUUAGCCCAUUGAAACCCAAUACCGACCGACCCAGUUUAUAUUUAUCAUAUUAUUUUAUUUGCUCAUAAAAUUCUGUUGGCUUCAAACGAUGUCGUAUUACCUUUGAUACAAAUACUCCUUUCAUUUUCACACUUCCUCCCUCAGUGAUAACAAAAAACCCUAGCAUAGCAGCAGCCGCAUAACACCGUUGAACAGACUCCUCUUCACCUUUCGUCCUCUGUUUCUCACUCUGCCGUUCCAUCACUCUCUUCACUCCGACGAAUCUUCGAUCAAUCUCGUUACACUUCAGGUUAUAUGUUUGUUUCCGAUUCCAAUUCGUCUAAGAUUUAAUUUUUUAUCUCAUAAUCUUUUAUUUUUUUCCUAGAUCUUUCAUGGCAUAUACUAUACUGUCAAGAAAUUGUGGUUUAUCAUGCAUUUUUCGUCACUGAUUGAUAAGAAGUAAAAUCUAGGGUUUCUCUUUUGUGCUUUUCAAUGUAGGGUUUUAGACUUCUUAUGAUUUUGCACUGAUGAAAGAAGUAAACAAUAUUUUGGACUAUAUUCUGGUAUUCAAAAGUGUAUUUUUUAUAUUUGUUAACAGUCUAUGAUGAACAAAACUCAUCUACUCAUUAUUUACUAUUGUUUAAUUAGUUUGUUUGUUAUUUCUUAUCUUAACACAUUUUUUCCUAUGUUUUUAUUUCUAUUUCAGCUUAGUACUUGUAGAUAAGGAGGAAGUUGAUUUUAUCACUGAUUGACAAAAAGGUAAAAGUUGCUAAGCUAGAGUGUUUAUAUUUUAUAUUGUUAAAUGAUUUCAUUAUAUUUAAGUGAUGAAAGCAAAUUUCUAACUUAUGGCUUUUAUGUUAUUGGAGGCUUAGAUAGUUUGUAACUUGAAAGAUGGAUGAAGGAGAUGGCCAAGGAAUUGGUACGUUUUUUUCUAUUCUCUCUGAUUUUCAGUAAGAAGAAAUGGGGUAGUUGAAUCAUUGUGUAGUAGAAGAAAUACUUUAUUUUUUUACUAAAGAAGAAAACUCUUUUUUAUCUUUCAGUNNNNNNNNNNNNNNNNNNNNNNNNNNNNNNNNNNNNNNNNNNNNNNNNNNNNNNNNNNNNNNNNNNNNNNNNNNNNNNNNNNNNNNNNNNNNNNNNNNNNAAAAAAAAAUUAGAAACCCAGAAAGUAGGGUUCUUUCAUCACCAUUCAUGCCUCUUCUCUUCUCUCACAUUCCAAUCCAUUCUCCUCUUCAUCCUUCCCACUCGAAUCUCUUCUGUCAAAUCAAAUCCAACAUCACAAGAGGCUCAUCUUUCAAUUUAAGAUCUUCCUCUUCUUUUUCAUUGUUAUUGCUUUCGCCACCGCAGUUAGGUUAUGCAGUCACAGGCCAACAAAUUCCACACUACCAGUAACGAACAUAAAUGAAAAAAUAACAUACAGAAGGCCAAAAUACAAGUCUGAAUUACCCCAACACACACAAACGUUGUUUGAAAAAGGGUUUGGUUAAAGAGAGAAAAGGGAAAAUUAGUGGCUAUGGUGUGAAUAGAGAAAGAAAGUGAUUGUAAUAAUGAGAACGAUGGUGAGAAAAACUCUAUAUUAACAAUAUAUGUUAUAGCCACUAAUUGGGUUGUUUAUUUCUCACCAUCCUUAGUUGCUUAUUGAAGAAAAACUAAUAUAGUGGGUUGUAAAUUUUGCUUGCUGUUGAUUGUAAUGAUAAGUGAAUGCUGCUUAUUGUUUAAUCGAAUUUCAAUUCAUUCUUCUUCGAAGAAAAAAAAAUUGGGUUGUUUAUUUUGAUUUUCUGUAAAUUGAAUUGAAAUUGGAUUGGAUUUUUUUUCUUUUUUCUUUUUUGCAAAUUUGUUCAGAGAUGAGGAUAGGGAAGAAGCUAGAUAGAAUUAUGAAGAAAGGAAAGAAAAAUUGGUUGAUGAUGAUUUAUGAGUUUCUGGAUUUUUUUUUUUUCUUUUUAAGAAUGUUGAUGAAGAUGAUGAAGAAGUUGAGGGGGAGAACGAUGAAGAAAAGGAAAAAAAGUUAGGUGUUGCUGGUACAUCAUAAGAUAAAAUAGACAUGUAUAAUCUAAUGGUUCUUUUAAAAAAAAAAGAUCAAACGAUUUAAAUUAAAAUAUUUAAUAGGAUCUAUGGUGGACCACUCUAAAAGUAAUCCAUCAUAGACAUUUGGGGUUAAACUUAACAGCCAAGGAUUUAUUUGACAGACGGAGAUACAAUUGAGGGACCAAAACAUGACUUUUAUUAGUUAUGGGACAAAAAUCAAAACUUGAAAUUAAUUAAAGGACCAAAUGACCUAUUAAGCCUAUAUUUUGUCACUCUUUUUUAAAGAGUAAAUAGUCAAUUACCCCCAUAAAAUUGUAACUUUCGUCAAAACCCCCCCUGAAUUUUGCAAAAUGUAAAAAACCCCCCUGAAAUGGUCAAGCGUCUGUCAAUUACCUCCUCCGUUAAUUUCCUCCAUCCAACAUGCUGAUGUGGCCGUUAACUGCCACGUGGCGCUGACACAUGGUCAGGAAAGUCAUGCCACGUCAUAGGGGGGUAAUUGACUAUAUUUUAUUUUAUUUUAUUUUUGUUCGAAAUUUUCCUUCAUAUAUUAUAUAAAAUAAAAUAUAGUCAAUUACCCCCCUAUGACGUGGCAUGACUUUUUUGACCAUGUGUCAGAGCCACGUGGCAGUUAACGGCCACAUCAGCAUGUUGGAUGGAGGAAGUUAACGAAGGGGGGUAAUUGACAGACGCUUGACAAUUUCAGGGGGGUUUUGACGAAAGUUAUAAUUUCAGGGGGGUAAUUGACUUUUUACUCCUUUUUUAAAACUUGUCUCUUAAACUAUUUAUAUCUCGUCUGUUACUGCCUCACUUUAAAUCCAUACACAUCACUCUUUUUUCUAAUACUACUCUCUUUGAUAUGUUGUACGUAUCAAACGAUCAAUGUUUUACCGUUAUUUUUAUGUAACAAUGAAAUUUAUUUACCUUAUGUCUUUAUGAAUAUUAAAAAAUUAAAUUUUAAUAUUCAUUAAUUAAUGUAACAACACGUCUUUAGAUCUUGUAAAAAAACACGUCGUUAUAUAUAUAUAUAUAUGCGCGCGUAUGUAAAAUAACAUUUAUUAAAUUAUAUUUUUAUAGGUUAAAUAAACUACUACUAUUUUUUUAUUAUUUGAUAAAAAUAAAAUAAAAUAAUAAUAAUAAUUAUUUUUUUAAAGAAAUUAUUUAUUUUUAUUUUUAUUAUGUUACACUAAUUUUGCAAUAAAAAAAGUCUAGAGAAUUGUUGUUCCCACAUUACAUAUGGCUGUGCCACACGAGUAAAUGACGUUUUUGUUCCUGCGGUAGUUAACUACCGAAGUUUAGAACCGGCUGCAGCUUCGGCAGUUAACUGCCGACGAAAAAACGAAAAAAAAAAAACCUCGGCACUUAAGUGCCGAAGAACUCAUAAUAUUUUUUUUUUCAAGAUUCUCUUAGACUUUAACCUCCACAAUUGGAAAUAUUAAAAACUUACUAUCUCAUGAUUUCAUUCAAGAUAAAUAUAAAUAAUGAAAACUUACUACUAACAAUAUAUUAUAUAGAAAGAAAUGUGUAAUGCACUAAUGCUACACAUGCAAUUAUGUAUAAUUAAAUAUGAAAGAUGUUAAGCCUAUUGUGAUUAGUAGAAUUAUUUAUUUACUUUCACAAAAGCUAAUGAAGAAUUGCUCCUGUUGAUAAUAUUGUCUUUGUCUAAUAUGGUCCACUGUAUACUACUCCCUCCGAUCUUAUUUAUAAGAGAAGGUUGACUUUUUAGAUUUGAAUAAUAUAUGUAUCUAGUCAAUAAACCAAAUACAUAAAUUAUUUGAUGUAUCUAAAAAGUAAAUUGUCUCUUGUAAAUAGGAACAGAGGGAGUAUAUUGUAUCAAAGUGGCAAGCACAUUAUUUCUGAAAUAUGUAAGAAACACUUCAGUGUAGUGUGGAAUUGAAAGUCUAAGAGAAUCUUGAAAAAAAAAUAUUAUGAGUUCUUCGGCACUUAAGUGCCGAUGUUUUUUUUUUUUUUUUUCGUUUUUUCGUCGGCAGUUAACUGCCGAAGGACCUUCGGUAGUUAACUGCAGCCGGUUUCAAACUUCGGUAGUUAACUACCGCAGGGGCAAAAACGUCAUUUACUCGUGUGGCACAACCUUAUGUAAUGUGGGAACAGCAAUUCUCAAAAGUCUAUACCCCUUUACCCCUUUCUAUCUCGUACAAACUUAGAGUAUAUUUUUAUAAUUUUCUUUUUAUUUUAUUUUUUGGGCUUAAUUGCACUUUUGGACUCCUAUCUUUUCAAAAGUUGCGGUUAUGGAUCCAUAACUAAUUUAAAUACAAAUCAGCCCCCUAUGUUUUGAUUCUUUGGCAGUUUUGGACCCCAGUACAUUGUUGAUUCGGUCAACGCUGACGUGGCACCCUAAGUGAGGUGCCACGUGUCAAUAUUUUUUUUGUUUUUUUGCCUUGGGGGUCCAAAACUGCUAAAGAAUCAAAACAUAGGGGGUUGUUUUGUAUUUAAAUUAGUUAGGGGUCCAUAACCGCAACUUUUGGAAAGAUAGAGGUCCAAAAGUGCAAUUAAGCCUAUUUUUUUGUCAUUUAACUUUAUUCCACACACACCAUAUUUAUUUCAAAGUUAAUUUUCUCUCUCUUCACCAAAGAAAUCUAGAAAACUCUCUCAUUCUCAAACAAGCCCUAGCCGCCGCCGCCUCCUCCCUCCUUCAGUGUGUCUCCGGCAGUCGUUACAUUGCUCCACCAUCUUCAUCCUCUCCUUUUCAUCUGUAAUUAUACUCUAUCAAAUUUAUUUCAACUCAAAGAUGAUUUUAAAUUUCCCUACGACCAUCUUUUCGGCUAGAUCUNUAA
rnacentral:lncRNA from 1 species